rnacentral:lncRNA from 1 species
CUGUCCUUUCCUUAUUACCUUUUAUUUUCUUUUUCUUUUGGUUUUAUUUUUAUUAUUCUUCCUUGCUUCUAUUUGUUUUUCUUUUUUUCUUUUUAGGUUUUUCGUGUUUCUUCAUUCUGUGGCAGAACCCCUAAGUGUUUGGGCCCACCGACACCUGUCAUUGUCCUAAGGACCUCUGACGGCGAUGCCGGGGAUCCUCCCACUUUAGAAGUCCGAUGAGCAUCGCUGGACGCUCAUUCCACUGCUACCUGUGGCAUGCCAAGCUGGCUCGUCCUGACCACUGGUAAUGGUCAAUUAACGAGAACUUCUUCUUCUCGCCCUUACAGGAUAGUAAGUGGCCACCUUAACACCAGGAUCAUUCGUUGCGAAGACAAUGCAGUAACCCAAACGACACAAGACCAAAAUAAUAUUUCAGAGUAAAACAGCGGAAGUAUUACAAACUUAAUUUACAAAAGGAGUUCUUCCAAAUAGUAGAGUGUUAUUACAAGCCUGGUCCAACGGAGCAACUUAAACUUUAGUACAGAGAUUACAAAUUUACCGACCCUGCCCAUGGGUCACGCUCACUCUUCUUCGUCGUCAACCUCGACGACGGUCACACAACAGGGUCCGAAACAAGUCGGCUCCUGCGCUUCACCUGCAACAGGGGGUUGGAAAACCCUGAGUACGGGAGUACUCAACAAGACUUACCCGGUGGAAAAGAGGAGAAAGUAGGAAUGCAGGCUUAGGGUAGACAAGGAGUGGCUGAGCAAGGAGCCAAAGUGUUUUGCCAAAAAGCUUACAAAUAGUGCAUCCUUACUUUCAAGUUUUAUCCGCGAAUCCCUCUCCCGCAGAGGCCGAGGAGUUCGAGGACAGUCUAUCUAGUUGUUUCGCACAGACAAGUCUGUGAGUUCCUAUUCCUAAAAUAAAGUAUUAUUUAUCCGACGGCCAUAGCUUCAUGUCGCUCUGAGUCCGGGAAUUGGGAUCCGAACCUCAUGAGACAUUUCCCCUUUCUCAUUUUAUCACAUAGUUGCAUAUUUAACUACGAUGAGGGUCGAAGGAAUUGAGUCUCCCAAUCGGGGAGCAACGACGAUUCGAAUCGCUUAGCAAUCCAGCUGGAGUUCCUGACCACCCGACAUAUGUAGAACCAAAUAUUGCAUAUGUCAACCUAAAUCAAGCUCUCCCCAAAUUUGACCAGGUUCGCGGCACCCGAGAGCACAGUACACCACCAUCCUACAGCCGAUCUAGAUGUUUUCCGGUCAUCUCAGAUCCGUAAGGUGGGUACACACUACUCUCGCCAUCUUUCCACUCCCAGUGCGCGAGUAGCUGUUCGCGUCGAGGGAUCACAAGACCGGGCUUACCGAGGGCAAGUGGCUAGUACUAUAAAUUCUCAACCCAGCAGGCCAUCAACGGACCGGUCCUUGAGACACUACUUUAAGACUCCAUUCUUAAAGCAAGUCCACCGACCGGUCUCAAAUUGAACAUCAUUGACCAUAAGUGUAUUCCACAACAACCCUUCAAACUUUGUUUGAAAACCUAUCUAGUAGCAGGGCUAAGCAUCACUACGCAGUUUUAAAACGAAACAGGUGCCAAGGACAAGAUAACAAUUAUCAAGGUAGUAAAUGCAGCAAGUAGGUUAACCCAAUUCUCAACUACCUAAUGCAGCAUUUUCAAUUCAUAAGUGAUAAGAGAUUUAAAACAUUCAAGGAGGGGUUAAUGCAUCCGGGGCUUGCCUUGGUUGCAGGGCAGAGAGGGACCCUCGGAGACUUCUCAAGUCUCGGAUCCGACUUCCUCGAACGGAGCACCGACCUCGGGGUUUGGUUCAACGGGCGCUCCUUCGGUCACGUGCACUAUACGUAAAAUGAUGAAUGCUCAUGAUAUGCGUAUGACAACUAUGCAAGAAGGACUAAGUCGAGUACAACUUGCCUUCUUGGUGCAACUCAGAAUAAUCAAUAAAUGAAGUUGUUUAACAUCUUAGUGUCUUUACCCAAGAGGUUGCAUCUAUAAAUUAAGACUUUUUUUAAUUCAUAAUUAUCUUAAAUUAACUAAUUAUUAAUCCUAUUUACUUUAAUUAACUCUUAAUUAAUCACUAAUGACAGUAAUUAAGCAUUAAGGCCAAACAAUAAUUAAAUGCCAAAGGUCAUUAGGGUUAAUGACCUCAGGUCAUCAUACAAUCCCAAAAUCACUCAACCCUAAUUAUGAGGAUUUAACUAAUCACUAUCUAAUUAUUUUGGAAUUAUUAUUUAAUUACUAAAUAAGGGUUUAUUAAUAUUUUACUCAAACAUUAUCCAAAUGCCACCAAAUUUUGUGUGGAGCCAGGGAAUAAUAUUCAGAGGCUCUCCACCAAUUUUGGUGAUUUUUGCACAUAUAAAUAAAUUAUUAAAAUUCAUCAAAGUUUUAUUUGCUAAAUAAAAGAGCCAAUUUUUAUACCCUUGCAAACUACCAGAAAACUGAGCCUAGUAUUUUUCUUGGGUUCUACCUAUUUCAGGGAAUCUAUACAAAAAUUUUUAUCAUUUUUGGGUCACUACACAAUUUAUUACUCAACUUCAAACAUCAAGCAAAAAUUGCAUAAAAAGAAAAAGAAAAAGAUUUUUGCGCAGCGGGCGGCCUGGAACUUGGCCCGCAGGCCGGCCCACGCGCGCUCGGCCCGCACACGCGCUGCGCGCGCUGCCCCUCCCCUCACGUGGACACUGACGAGCGGGCCCCGCUCGUCAGGCCCUCCUCUCCUCUCUCUCUGCGGGACGCUGACAGGCGGGUCCCGCCUGUCAGUUCCGCCUCCCUCGUGCACGGCGGCCUUGCCGCGAUCCCGGUCGCCGCUGGCGAGGUCCAAGCCCACACAAGGGUGCGCAUCAGCUCCGCCUCGACCCUGCGACUCCAUAGCUACGGCUCGAGGACGCUCUACCGCUCUCUUCCUACCUCGGCCACGCGAAAGGCGGGCGGCCGCCCUGGCCGGCCGUGGACCGGUCCUUGGGGCUCGGUAGAGCGUAAACCAACAGGUCCGGGAGGUUCGGGAAGAAGUGGGGAUCAUGGUGCUCACACUACCACGGCAGGAGAAGCAGCAGAGAAGCUUGGUGACGGUGGCCGUACGGUCGGGCGGAUGCUCCGGCUCCGGCGAGGUCGUCCCGGUGGUCCUGCUCAUGUCCAGGGAGAACAAGCGAGCGCAUGAGCAUCGGGGAAAUGAGAAGAGUUCGAAACGACCGCUUGCAAGGCGUGGUACCGACUGGAGCAGCGUGUCCACGUGAAGAGUUCCUCGGCGGCGGUUCUGGCUGGAGUUGGGGACGACGGCUCGGCUGGUGGCGCUAGGGGGUUAAAGCGUGCGGCGAAGGGUCCAAGAGGUAGCUAGGUCGCGGGCGAAGUGGGUGCUGCACUCCGGGAAGAUGGAGAGGACGUGCUUGCGGCGAAUUUGAGAGGCGCAGGGAGCUCGUCGGCGAUGAGGUUCAAGGAAAAGAAAGGAAAAGUCCCGGCCACCCGAAGCUUUAUCCACGCGACGGCGCCUGCGAUGCGGAUGAGAACGUCGAGUGAGGCACAGCAGCAAGCAGGUGCGUGGCCGCGUGCGUGGCGGCGUGCGCGGAGGCGGCUCUGCCCCGGCGGCAGAGCACCCCCCCUGCCGAACACUGUAGCAGAGCAUAUCCACCCAAUUUGGAGUUUUGCAAAAUUCGCCCGAAUUUUGAACUAAAGACAAAAACCCACCAAAACCAAAGUUACUCAGAAUUUUAUAAGCUACAAUUCUUAUUUUGGUGCCCAAGACUAAAUCUGAGUGGAAAAAGGUUAAUUUGGCCAAACAGUUUGAAAGUCAAAACUCAAUUCCAAGGAAUUCAAAUUUUUGAAUUGGGGCAAAUCAGAAUUUCCAAAAUUACUUUUGUUUUUACUAAACAACUUGAAAAACUCCCAACAUGAAAGUUGCUCAACUUUUUGUGCUCGACAACUUUCAUGUUGACCACUUUUCAAAAUUCCAAAUGGAUUUUGAAUUGGAGGUUUAAUUUGGAAAAGGGGACACUUUCUGGAAAUCUGUGUUUUGAAAAUUACUUUGAAUUUUGUAUUGAAACUUCAAAAACUCAAAACACCAAAGUUGUACACCUUAACAAGAUCUACAACUUUGCUUUUGAACACAUCCUCAAAUUUUGCUUGGUUUUUGAAUUGCACAAAAAGGGGCAAUUCUAGGGUCGAGAGAUCAGGGUUUCCCCCCCCUAAGCCUUCGGAAAAACUUUACCCUAGGGUUUUAGCAACCAACCCAGGCAUCACUAACAAGAUAAACACACUUUAAUUCCCUACGCACAUUCAACCAAAUUAAACUCAUUUUAAGUUGAUGCAUCAAGGUGUGCUUAACCAAUAUGCUGUGCAAUGCUGAUGAUGCCAUGAUCCAAAUUUUAGGAAUCGUAACAUCGGGGAUGUUACAGCUCUCCCCCCUUAAAGAAAUCUCGUCCCCGAGAUUUAAAGCCAUAGGGUACGCAAUGGAAAAGGAAAUUUGUCAAAACUUCUUCAUUUUCGACUUUUCCAUAAAGCAAGAAGUUGGGGGAAACCACUCCAUUAUAAACAUAUAUGUACACAAAGUACAUGGCAUCGGCUACUCCUUUCCUUCAUUAGAGUACACUUCUUAUAUAUCAGCUGUUGUCCUGAAGAGAAGCGUGGAACUCAGGAAAAUUCUCCAUCAGGUAAUCUUCAGAUUCCCACGUGGCUUCUUCUUCAGAGUGCUGGCUCCACUGUAUCUUGUACCACUUGGUAGUUGUUCUUCGAGUAACUCUAUUUCUUUGAUCUAGUACUCGGAUAGGAUACUCCGAAUAAGUUAGAUCUGGUUCAAGUUCUACAUCUUCAAUAUCUUGAACUUGGUCUGGUACCCGAAGACACUUCUUCAGUUGAGACACAUGGAACACAUUAUGUAUCCCGGAUAAUCGUUCGGGCAGUUUAAGGCGGUAGGCUACCUGUCCACAUCGGUCAAUGAUUGGAAAUGGACCAAUGUAACAGGGCGCUAACUUGCCUUUAACACCAAAACGAUUUACUCCUUUCAUUGGGGAUACUUUCAAAUACACAUGAUCACCUUUGGCGAACCUUAAUGGUCGACGUCUUUUAUCGGCGUAGCUUUUCUGUCGGGACUGAGCAACUUUCAAGUUAUUUUGGAUUUGUCUCACUUUGUUCUCAGUCUCUUUCACUAAGUCAACCCCGAAGAACCAUCUUUCUCCAGGUUCCGACCAAUGUAACGGAGUUCGACAUCGACGGCCAUAUAGUGCCUCAAAGGGAGCCAUCUUGAUACUCUCUUGGUAGCUAUUGUUGUAGGAGAACUCUGCUAGAGGCAAACAGUCAUCCCAUUUAUCUGGAAAAUUUAGGGCACAAGAUCUUAAUAGAUCUUCUAGGGUUUGAUUCACCCUCUCUAUUUGCCCACCUGUUUGAGGGUGGUAGGCUGUGCUGUAUAAAAGUUUAGUGCCCAAGGACUCGUGUAGACAUUUCCAGAAUUGGGAGACAAAUUGUGUGCCUCUAUCUGACACUAUUGUCUUUGGCACUCCAUGCAGACUUAGGAUACGAUCAAAAUAAAUCUUAGCAUAGGUGGAGGCAGGAUACAAUAGCUUUACAGGCAGAAAGUGUGCUGUUUUGGUGAGACGAUCCACUAUGACCCAAAUUGAAUCAAAGCCUUUGGCUGUCUUAGGCAGUCCUACUAUGAAAUCCAUACUUAUGUCAUCCCAUUUCCAUGCUGGGAUAGGCAAAGGUUGCAACUCCCCAGCGGAUUUGAGAUGAAUAGCUUUGACUUUUCGGCAGGUGUCACAUUGGGCCACAUAGCGAGCUAUUUCUAUCUUCAUUUUUGUCCACCAAAACCUUUGUUUUAGGUCCUGAUACAUCUUAUUGCUUCCCGGAUGAAUAGAAUACCUCGUGGUAUGAGCUUCAUCCAGGAUUCGUUGACGUAGCUCAGGUACCUUUGGAACCACUAAACGGUUCUUGAACCAGAUUACUCCUGCACCAUCCACCUUAAAGUCUGUGGGUGCUCUAUUAGAAAUCUUCUCUUUAAGAUGUUUCAUGCCUUUGUCUUCUUUUUGUGCCUCUAUGAUUUGAGCUUCGACAUUGAAGUCAAUCUUUAGAUUGGCAAGGUUGCCUUGGGAAAUCAUUUCUAUCCCCAAGUUCUCUAGCUCUUGGCACAAAGUUAUAUCCCUAGGCGUCACUGUUAAGCAAUUACAGUGAGCCUUACGACUGAGGGCAUCAGCUACUACAUUUGCCUUGCCAGGAUGAUAAUGCACCUCAAGGUCGUAAUCUUUAAUUAAUUCUAGCCACCUUCGCUGGCGCAUAUUAAGCUCAGCUUGAGUAAAGAUAUACUUCAAGCUUUUGUGAUCGGUGUAUAGAUGACAUGUGUUCCCCAACAGAUAAUGACGCCAGAUCUUUAAUGCAUGUACCACGGCGGCUAGUUCAAGAUCAUGGGUCGGGUAAUUCUCUUCAUGUGGUUUAAGUUCUCUGGAAGCAUAUGCAAUUACGCGACCCUCCUGCAUUAGCACAUAGCCUAUCCCUAUCCCUGAUGCGUCACAAUACACAUCAAAGGGUUUUUCAAUAUCUGGCUGGGCUAAGACAGGUGCAGUUGUCAAUAACCUUUUCAGAGUCUGAAAGGCUUGCUCACAUUGGGGUGACCAAACAAAUUUUGUUUGAUUUUUGAGCAAGGUCGUGAUUGGUUUGGCGACUCUGGAAAAGUCCGGGAUAAAACGACGGUAAUAUCCCGCCAUACCCAGAAAACUACGGACCUCAUGUACCGUAGUCGGGGGUUUCCAAUUCAACACAUCUUCUACCUUGCCUGGGUCUACAGCGACUCCCUCCGCUGACAAUACAUGACCCAGGAAAUGAACUUUGUCCAGCCAGAACUCACAUUUGCUGAACUUGGCAUAUAGUUGAUGCUCCCUAAGACGGGUCAGCACAAUUCUCAGAUGUUCAGCAUGUUCCUUCUUAGUCUUGGAGUAGAUUAAGAUGUCAUCAAUAAAGACAACCACAAAUUUGUCUAGUUCUGGCAUGAAGACAGAGUUCAUCAAGUACAUGAAAUGGGCCGGUGCAUUGGUCAACCCAAAAGACAUUACCAAGUACUCAUACAACCCGUAACGGGUUGUAAAAGCUGUCUUGGGCACAUCUUCCGGCCUAAUUUUAAUUUGGUGGUACCCUGAUCUCAAAUCAAUUUUUGAGAACACUUUGGCCCCGGCUAGCUGGUCAAAUAAUAAGUCAAUGCGGGGUAAUGGGUACUUAUUCUUAAUCGUCACCUCAUUCAGGGGACGAUAGUCGACACACAGCCUUAAUGUUUGAUCUUUCUUUUUCACAAACAAGGCUGGGCAACCCCAUGGAGAAGAACUAGGCUGAAUAAAACCUUUCUGCAACAGCUCUUGUAAUUGGGUUUUUAAUUCGGCCAGCUCUUUCGGUGCCAUUCUGUAGGCCCUUCGAGAUAUUGGGGCUGUCCCUGGUUUCAAUUCUAUACAGAAUUGUACAUCCCGGUCCGGAGGCAGACCUGGUAAAUGUUCAGGAAAUACAUCCGGAAAAUCCCGAACUACCGGGAUAUCUUUGACUUCAGACACAUUAGCGGCAUGAACUUGCCCAAUUGUCCGCUUGGGAGUAACUAAUCGAAUUAGCAAAUAAGAAUUCUCAUUGGGCAAUGGGAUUUUAAUGGUUCGAUGCAAAGUGUCUAGCAAACCCCUCGUUGUGCCAUCCAGUUCAUGCCUAAUAUGACAUCAAUCUCCUGGUCUUUCAGAACAAUCAUGCUAGUGGGAAAACUAUGCCCACCAAAUUCGAUGGGUAUCUGGUGAACCAUUUCUUUAGAGCUCAGUCGUCCUCCUGGCGACUGUAUAUAAAAAUGAUCUUGUGUUUCCCCAAUGGGUAUGCCAUGCUUUAACACAAAGGUGCGAUUGAUGAAUGUAUGAGAUGCACCAGAAUCGAAAAGCAUUAAAGCAGGCUGUUUCGUGACAGGAAACGUACCCAUCAUUACUGGUUCACCCUCCGGGAUCGUCUCCACCUCCGUAUGGAAGACUUGUCCCACUUUCUUUGCUGGUUUUCCCCUUUGCACAGGUUGUCCUUUCUGAACCCCAGUCCUAAACUGACUCGGCUGGGGUUGGCCCAUAGGUGGCCUUUGGAAGGUGGGGUUGGUUUGGCGGGGGAAAGGGCACUCUUUAGAAAAAUGCCCAGGCUUACCACAAUUGAAACAAGGGUAAUUGUGGCUGGGCGGAGCAGUGGGGCGAACACCUGGGGCGUUCGGCUGGCGUGGUGCAAAAGCGAUGGCAGUAGGUCGAGAGUAUACCUGCUGCCCUGGUCUAUACUGUGGAGGGGAGAAAGGACCACGAUAAGGUGACGGCGCUUGGAAGCGUCCGUGGCCCUGCGGAUGAUAAAUGAUUCUCUGGCGCUUUUGACCGCGACCAGAGAAAGAGGAAGAAGCAGCCUUCUUCUUGGCUUCUUUGUGCUUCCUAUUCUUUUCUUCAGAGGCGAUGGCAAUAUUUACCGCCUCAUAGAAGGUAGCAUUUUGGCAGGUGGUCAUCAUGGUCUAAAGUUUAGUAUUUAGACCACGCAUGAAGCAGGCUUUCUUCUUUCUGUCAGUAUUCACAUGGUCUGUGGCAUAUUGAGAGAGAUGAUUAAACUUUGCCACGUAUUUCAUGACACUUUUAUCGCCUUGUUGCAAGGCGAGAAAUUCUUCGGCCUUCAUGGUCAUGAGCCCUUCGGGGAUGUAAUGGGCGCGGAACGCGUCCUUAAACUCGGUCCAGGUGACCUGGUGUCCCGGAGCUUGGAUAGCUAGAAAGUUCUCCCACCAGGCACCUGCAGCUCCCCGAAGCUGCUGAGCUGCAAACAGGGGCUUCUGAGUUUCUGAACACUGAAUCAAACUGAACUUGUGCUCCAUGGUCCGGAGCCAAUCAUCCGCUUCUAACGGCUCAUCAGCCUUAGUGAAUACCGGGGGCCUUGUCUCGGUAAAGUCCACGUACCGAGCUUCUCCGUCCCCAUUGUGCUGUGCCAUGAAGUUUGGGGCGGGGUGUGGUUGACGCUGUGCUAGCUCGCGUAGUAAGCGAGCAUUGUCGGUAGUGGCACUCAACAGAAUAGCUAUGGCAUCAGCCAAAGAAGGUGGAGCAGGUGGAGGGUUGGGGAUAUCAUCCCCUCCCUGAGAUGUCCCAGCUCCAUCAGAUCCACGUGUAUGCAUCGGCAUCUGCUACAAGAGCCACAGGUACUUGUUACUACAUGAAAUUCAUAACGUAGAACAUAUCUUACAUUCUUCCAUUUAUUUAUUAAGCAUUAGUUCAACACACCAGGAACCAACAAGUACAACUCCUCAAACCGAAAGAAAACUUAUAUUACAAACCCGACCCCACUACGGUAAACUAGGAAUUCUACAACGACUUUGCCCGCGGCUUCACCGAACUAGUCGGUGUGGCCAGAGCUGUAGCCCGGGUCGUCAUUGCCAUUAUCCUGAUUACCCCCUGGGUUGUUGUCAUCGGGGUCGGACUCCUCUUCAUCACCGAGGCCUUGAUCGGGUUUCCCAUCAUCUGCCAACUCGCCAUCCGUAUCCAUCUCUCCUUCGCCUGGAGGUGGGUGGAGCUGAUGAUAUAGAUCAAAUGCAAUAUCACGAUAUUGCAUUGCCAAGUCAUUGACGGUAUCUAAGUGAUGUGCCAGCUCCAGCUUCUCCAACUGGAGCUGGUCCUCCCGCUGCCACGCGACAUCCCGCUGCGCGGUGACCGUGGCCGCCAUCUUUACGUACAGAUCUUUAAGAUACCUGGCCUUGCCCAGCUUCGCAUUCAUCCUAGUCAGCUCGUGCCUGUGUGCGCUCCUUGCCUCUUCUUCUUGGGCAAUAGCGGUAUUCCUCUCCUCCACCAUACGGGUCAAUAUGGCCUCACAGUUCUCAGUAGCUUGUUUUUCUUUGGCUAGUUGAGCUUUGAGUUCGCCGAUCUCCAUAACAUUGUACAUUCUUUCUCUCAUCACCUCAGUCAACUCGGCGGACAACCUGUCCACCUCCUGCUACGGCGGUGAACGGCUGCUGCUUGCUUGCUCGCUUCGCGGGGCCAGCUGGUGUUUGGGGACCCCUUUUGGUCCUGUCCUCUUACGCGGGGUCAGCUUCCAACGAGGCAUCCUGUAGAGGGUAAGUUUAGAUUAAUAAGGGAGGCCUUACAGGUUAGCAAGAAUGGGAUUGAUUCUAUACAACCCAACCCAAACAAGGAGGAAGGAAAUUUAACCAAGUUGACCAAUCAUGAUACAUGCACGUACUUACGAUUCCUAUCAACUAUUCGUAACGAUAUUACUCAAAAUUGUACAACAUAGGGCAAUACUUAAUGUUGCUCCUCCAUACCACUCCAAACAUUCUAAGAAAGCCUACAGACAGGGGUAAGUUAGGACUAAGCACUUGAACUCAAAAUAGGCAAGUUUAUAGUAUUGGAUCCAAACGAAGUUUGAAGUUUUUCAAGAGGUACAGCAGUCAUCUUAGCAACGAAGGCUCUGAUACCACCUGUGGUAGAACCCCCUAAGUGUUUGGGCCCACCGACACCUGUCAUUGUCCUAAGGACCUCUGACGGCGAUGCCGGGGAUCCUCCCACUUUAGAAGUCCGAUGAGCAUCGCUGGACGCUCAUUCCACUGCUACCUGUGGCAUGCCAAGCUGGCUCGUCCUGGCCACUGGUAAUGGUCAAUUAACGAGAACUUCUUCUUCUCGCCCUUACAGGAUAGCAAGUGGCCACCUUAACACCAGGAUCAUUCGUUGCGAAGAUAAUGCAGUAACCCAAAUGACACAAGACCAAAAUAAUAUUUCAGAGUAAAACAGCGGAAGUAUUACAUAACUUAAUUUACAAAAGGAGUUCUUCCAAAUAGUAGAGUGUUAUUACAAGCCUGGUCCAGCGGAGCAACUUAAACUUUAGUACAGAGAUUACAAAUUUACCGACCCUGCCCAUGGGUCACGCUCACUCUUCUUCGUCGUCAACCUCGACGACGGUCACACAACAGGGUCCGAAACAAGUCGGCUCCUGCGCUUCACCUGCAACAGGGGGUUGGAAAACCCUGAGUACGGGAGUACUCAACAAGACUUACCCGGUGGAAAAGAGGAGAAAGUAGGAAUGCAGGCUUAGGGUAGACAAGGAGUGGCUGAGCAAGGAGCCAAAGUGUUUUGCCAAAAAGCUUACAAAUAGUGCAUCCUUACUUUCAAGUUUUAUCCGCGAAUCCCUCUCCCGCAGAGGCCGAGGAGUUCGAGGACAGUCUAUCUAGUUGUUUCGCACAGACAAGUCUGUGAGUUCCUAUUCCUAAAAUAAAGUAUUAUUUAUCCGACGGCCAUAGCUUCAUGUCGCUCUGAGUCCGGGAAUUGGGAUCCGAACCUCAUGAGACAUUUCCCCUUUCUCAUUUUAUCACAUAGUUGCAUAUUUAACUACGAUGAGGGUCGAAGGAAUUGAGUCUCCCAAUCGGGGAGCAACGACGAUUCGAAUCGCUUAGCAAUCCAGCUGGAGUUCCUGACCACCCGACAUAUGUAGAACCAAAUAUUGCAUAUGUCAACCUAAAUCAAGCUCUCCCCAAAUUUGACCAGGUUCGCGGCACCCGAGAGCACAGUACACCACCAUCCUACAGCCGAUCUAGAUGUUUUCCGGUCAUCUCAGAUCCGUAAGGUGGGUACACACUACUCUCGCCAUCUUUCCACUCCCAGUGCGCGAGUAGCUGUUCGCGUCGAGGGAUCACAAGACCGGGCUUACCGAGGGCAAGUGGCUAGUACUAUAAAUUCUCAACCCAGCAGGCCAUCAACGGACCGGUCCUUAACCGACACAGUUGGAGACACUACUUUAAGACUCCAUUCUUAAAGCAAGUCCACCGACCGGUCUCAAAUUGAACAUCAUUGACCAUAAGUGUAUUCCACAACAACCCUUCAAACUUUGUUUGAAAACCUAUCUAGUAGC